rnacentral:lncRNA from 1 species
UCUUAUGCAUCAAAACAUCCUUUGCCCUCUCAACAUUCACAUCCAUUGCACAUUUGCAGCAUUAAAAGUUCAACAACCAGAUCACAAACAGAUUGCGAGCAAAUCAAAGGAAAAAAAAAAAAACACCCUCAAAUACAACACCAAAACAUCAAAAACCAAGUCCGCCACUCUACAUAUGCACUGCAAUCGGUUAAUCUUCUGCUGCGGUUUUGGGAGAUAAGGAGUCUCGAGGGUUGGGAGAUGAGGAGGGAGCGGUUUUGGAAGAUGAGGGAUCUCGGGGUUUGGAAGAUGAGGAAGAUAAGGGGUCUCGGAGGUUAGGAGAUGAGAGAGGAGCAAUUUUGGGAGAUGAAGAGGAAGCGGUUUUGGGAGAAGGAGGUAAUGCCACGUCAGCAAGAUAUUGGGGNUAAUUUAGCCAGCAGCACUUUUUUGACCUAUACCGACAUUUAAAAGUGUCGCUAUAUACCGUUUUUGUUGUAGUGUCUUGAAGCACUUCAAUUCAUCUUAUCCACAUAUUGUCUAAAGUUCAUUCCUAUGCAUUGAUAAAA